CACCACAAUAGAGGUGGAAGGGGAAAACCAAAGGUAAGGCGGCUUUUAAACCAUAAAACCCGGGAUUAAAAUUCAAACCCUAGUACCAUUUCAUCGGUUGCUGAUCCAUCACUCAAUCCCCACACAGUUUUUAUCUUGUUAGCUUUUCAGUUUCUUCCUCAUCGGUUCAGUCUGCAAUCUCUAUAUUCCUAUGUGUGGCUGUCUAUCUAUGCUCCCUUCGCAUUGCGUCCUGUGGUUGUAUUUAUAUUAUCGUUCACAUUUUCGGGGCUUGUUGAUCUCCCUUCGUCAGCCAUGGCGGCCAAGAAUUUGUACGAGAAUUUCUCUAAAGCUUUGAUCGAUGAGGUACUCAGGUGGGGUGCCAUGAAACAGACUGGCGUGAGUUUGAGAUACAUGAUGGAAUUUGGGUCCAAACCCACUGAGAAAAAUUUGCUAAUCUCUGCUCAGUUCCUUCAUAGAGAGCUACCCAUUAGAAUUGCAAGGAGAGCCAUCGAGCUUGAGAGCUUGCCUUAUGGCUUAUCUGAUAAACCUGCUGUUUUGAAGGUUCGAGAUUGGUACUUGGAUUCUUUCCGUGAUCUUCGAAGCUUUCCAGACAUCAAAGAUACAAGUGACGAGUUGGAUUUCACUCAAAUGAUUAAAAUGAUCAAAGUGAGACACAACAAUGUGGUCCCUAUGAUGGCUUUGGGUGUUCAACAGCUGAAGAAAGACUUGAAUCCAAAAGUCGUGACAGAAGAUCUUGAUGAAAUCCACCAAUUUCUUGAUCGAUUUUACAUGUCAAGAAUUGGGAUCCGCAUGCUCAUUGGGCAGCAUGUGGUAUUACACGAUCCCAAUCCACAACCUGACCGUGUAGGUUACAUACAUACUAAAAUGUCUCCUCUGGAGGUAGCACGAAGUGCAAGUGAGGAUGCCCGUUCUAUUUGUUUGCGAGAGUAUGGGAGUGCUCCUGAAAUUAACAUCUAUGGUGAUCCCAACUUUACAUUCAUGUAUGUUCCAACACACUUGCAUCUUAUGGUAUUUGAGUUGGUUAAGAAUUCCUUGCGUGCUGUCCAAGAGCGGUUUAUGGAUUCAGACAAAGUUGCACCUCCCAUUCGAAUAAUAGUUGCCGAUGGAAUUGAGGAUGUUACGAUAAAGAUCUCAGAUGAAGGAGGUGGAAUACCAAGAAGUGGCCUUCCAAAGAUAUUUACAUAUCUUUAUAGUACAGCAAAAAACCCAUUGGACGAGCAAACGGAUCUUGGAUCAACUGAUGGGGUGACAAUGGCUGGAUAUGGAUAUGGCCUUCCAAUAAGUCGCCUGUAUGCUCGAUACUUUGGAGGUGAUCUGCAAAUCAUUUCAAUGGAAGGAUAUGGAACUGAUGCCUACCUUCAUUUGAGUCGCCUGGGAGAUUCGCAAGAACCCCUGCCGUAAUCCUAGGACUGCCUACCACUGAUGUAAGCUGGGCAUAGCUUGCAUAUUAUCCUGUAUUAUGUGGAGUCACGACUUUCUUGUACAUUCUCUCUCCAUUCCUAUUUUAUCAGGUGGAAGUGUUGGUUUCUAGGUAUGAAUCAAUAUAUACAAGAUCUGUUAAAUAAUGUUGCAUUAUAUCCUUGAUCAUUCUCGCUGAAUUCUCUCUUCACCAAAAUUCAUUGUAGUACUAACCUACCUUGGUUUAUCUGUGAUAAAAAUAAUUAGAAAUCUCUUAACAACAGGUAAGUUCUUUCCUCUUAUUGUUUCCUCCCAUGGGUCUCAGGAUCAACUUGGGAUCUGCUAACCAGGGGCUAAUUGAGACAAAUUUGUUUUGCUGGAGCACUGUCCAGGUUGCAAGUAAACUAAGACCAAAUUUAGGGUGGUUUUAUUGUCACAGGGAUAUUAGAAUUGUACUGCAGUUUUUUAGUGAUUGUCUUCUCUGUUUCACACACAUUGUCUGGUACUCUGGUGUAGUUCUUGAUGGUAUUGUUUUGUUUAUAACACACAUGGAAAUUUUAUACUGAGAUAACAUGAGAUAA